UGCCUAUGACGAAAGAAAUGGAAAAUGUGAUAAUGCAUGAUUAUUCAUGAUUACAUUACCAUACUGCCUUCCUUCCGAGGCU